rnacentral:rRNA from 1 species
CCUACGGGAGGCAGCAGUGGGGGAUAUUGCACAAUGAGGGAAACCCUGAUGCAGCGACGCCGCGUGGGCGAAGAAGUAUUUCGGUAUGUAAAGCCCUAUCAGCAGGGAAGAAGAUAUGACGGUACCAGAGUAAGCAGCACCGGGUAAAUACGUGCCAGCAGCCGCGGUAAUAAGUAUGGUGCAAGCGUUAUCCGGAUUUAAUGGGUGUAAAGGGAGCGCAGGCGGCACGGCAAGCCUUUCGUGAAAGCCCGCGGCCCAACCGCGGGACUGCAUUGGGUACUACCGGGCUGGAGUGCCGUAGAGGGAGGCGGAAUUCCAAGUGUAGCGGUGAAAUGCGUAGAUAUUAGGAGGAACACCAGUGGCGAAGGCGGCCUACUGGACGGUGACUGACGCUGAGGCUCGAAAGCGUGGGGAGCAAACAGGAUUAGAUACCCGAGUAGUC